GGACAGAAGAAUUCCUGGUACGUUGCUUCACGGAUCGGAUGGGGCGACGUUUUCUGGAGACGAUCGAUUGAGGUUUCGGUUGAUGAUGAUGGGAUCAAUUGAGUUGUUGGGCAGAGGAUUGAAGGGUUGAUUGAUGUCUUGGAUUGCUUGAUUUGAGAUCAGUGAUCUGCUUGUUGACCUCUUCUCUUGAUCCGAUCAGUGAGGUGAGUUCUGUUGCUGUGAGGCUGGGAUUGUGAUCUUUGAGGUGUAUCCAGCAGCUUUCCCUAACCGGCAGCAACCCCUUUGGUUGUGAUCUAUUGGUGAUCACCUUGGAUUCGAGGAGUCUGAUUUGAGACAGGCGUCUCGACGUUGAAUUCGGAUUUGGAUUGUACCUUC